GACGAACGCUGGCGGCGUGCUUAACACAUGCAAGUCGAACGGAAAGGCCCUGCUUUUGUGGGGUGCUCGAGUGGCGAACGGGUGAGUAACACGUGAGUAACCUGCCCUUGACUUUGGGAUAACUUCAGGAAACUGGGGCUAAUACCGGAUAGGAGCUCCUGCUGCAUGGUGGAGGUUGGAAAGUUUCGGCGGUUGGGGAUGGACUCGCGGCUUAUCAGCUUGUUGGUGGGGUAGUGGCUUACCAAGGCUUUGACGGGUAGCCGGCCUGAGAGGGUGGCCGGCCACAUUGGGACUGAGAUACGGCCCAGACUCCUACGGGAGGCAGCAGUGGGGAAUAUUGCACAAUGGGCGGAAGCCUGAUGCAGCAACGCCGCGUGCGGGAUGACGGCCUUCGGGUUGUAAACCGCUUUCGCCUGUGACGAAGCGUGAGUGACGGUAAUGGGUAAAGAAGCACCGGCUAACUACGUG
rnacentral:rRNA from 1 species